rnacentral:tRNA from 1 species
GGGUGUUUAGCUCAGUUGGUAGAGCAUCGCCCUUACAAGGCGAGGGUCGGGGGUUCAAGUCCCUCAACACCCACCA